UACGAAGGGGGCUAGCGUUGUUCGGAAUCACUGGGCGUAAAGCGCACGUAGGCGGAUCUUUUAAGUCAGGGGUGAAAUCCCAGAGCUCAACUCUGGGAACUGCCUUUGAUACUGGGGGAUCUCGAGUUCGGGGAGAGGUGAGUGGAACUGCGAGUGUAGAGGUGAAAAUUCGUAGAUAUUCGCAAGAACACCAGUGGCGAAGGCGGCUCACUGGCCCGAUACUGACGUGGAGGUGACGAAAGCGUGGGGGAGCAAAACAGG
rnacentral:rRNA from 1 species